UAAAGAAGAAGCGUCCUAUUGUCAAAUUAACAUAAACAAGACAAACAACAAACUUUAUAAUUUAUUUAUUUUAUAAUGGAAAUAACACAACAGAAACGUGAAAAUCUAACACUGUUGCUAAACAAUAACCCAAAUAUUUGCAGAUUCUGUUUUUUGGAUCUAAGGGAUGUUAAAGAAUGUUAUUCUAUUUAUAAUAAGGAUAUUUUCAAUAAUUUGCUUUAUUGUUGUAAGGAGCUGUUGGUAAUGGAACAUGCCAAUAUACCAAAUAAAAUUUGCUGCAAAUGCUAUCAAAGCCUUAAUACCACAUGUCAAUUUUUGCAACAAGUUUACUUUUCACAAGCCUUUUUAACAGACUAUGUAAAAACUAUUGGUGAAACUUGCUUGCCAACCAAAGUUUCAAAUUCAGACUUGGAAGAUGACAGGGCUUCAGAAAUCUCACAUUGUAGUGAUAAUGUAUCAACUUACAUCGAUGAUCCAGUUAAUAGUCCUUCCCUUAAUUGUUUGAAGGAAAAAGUUGUAAAAAAAGAACCAAAACCCAAGGGAAAUGUUGUUAAGAAAACCAUGUCUUGUUCCAGUUGUGAUAAAAGUUUUAAAUCAAACUAUGACCUAAAAUUUUAGGUCCACUUAAGGUUACACACUGGAGAAAAACCAUUCACUUGCAGUACUUGUGAUAAAUCCUUUGCUGACAAUAGAGUUCUAAAGAAACACAAGAAAAUUCAUACAGAUAACAAACCGCAUGAAUGUCCCAUUUGCAACAAAAAGUUUCUGCACUUAUUCAGUUUGAAGACACAUAAAAGAGUUCACAGUGGCGAGACACCUUACAUUUGUGACAAAUGUGGAAAACCUUUCAAAACCAGUGGUGAAUUAACGAUUCAUAAUAGGACCCACUAUGAUCAUAAACAAUAUAAGUGUGGAAUUUGUGAAAAAUCAUUUUCAUCAAAAACCAGUUUGAAUAUUCACAAAAUAGUUCACACAGGAGAUAAGAAGCAUGUCUGCGUAAUAUGCAAAAGAAAAUGGAGAACUGGUUAUGAUUUAAAAGUUCAUAUGAGAUGCCACACUAAAGAAAGGCCCUAUACUUGUAAAUAUUCAAAUUGUGAUAAGGCAUAUAAGAAUAGUAGUCAGCUAAGUGUCCAUUUGAGAACACAUACAGGUGAAAAGCCUCAUCAGUGUCAUCAUUGUUUUAAAAAAUUCGGAGAAUCCAACUUACUUAAAAGACAUCUGGUUACUCAUGAAAAAUAAAUAUCUAGCCGAGUUUUAGCUUUAUUAAGUAUUAUUGAAAUGAUCUCUUUUAGUUAUAGGAAGUAUUUUAUUAAAAUAAAAGUUCUUUGUAACACAAAACAUAUAUUUACUGUAUAGACAAUAUACCAACGAAUCAACUUGAA